UUUUUUACUUUUCUAUUAAAAUGAGGAUAAAAAAGUAGAAGUGAAUACUUACCUUUUGCAUAAUGGUUAAACUAAAUAUCUAUUAAAUAAAUAUACCCGAAUAAUAAAGAUCUACGCUGUUUUAAUUCUUAGAAUAAAAUAUAUAAUGUAGCAUAAUUAUUUAAGUAAAAAAUUGUGUAGGGGUGAAACACUUUCAAUUUAUUAAGUAUCUGGAUUGAGCCGAAAUGAAUUUAGUUCGUAAGAUAAUCACAAAGUUAUAAGAUUUUGUGAGGCAAGAAUAUAAAUUAUUGACUUUAAACGAAAUAAGUUUUCAGAUUUAUCAUGCACAAAGAUAUUUAGAUUUAUAUUAAUCUAGCGCACUAGGCUCAUAUCCCCCCCAAUAAAAAAGCGGAUUAAUAAUGUUUAAAUUAGUAAAUAAUAUUAACCUAACAAAAGGAACUCGGCAAAUAUAAUUUUCAACUAGUUUAUCAAAAACAUAGCUUUAAGAAAAAUAUUUAAGGUUUAAUCUGCCCAGUGAUAAUUUUAACGGCCGCAGUACAUUGACUGUGCUAAGGUAGCAUAAUAAGUUGACUUUUAAAUGAAGUCGGGUAUGAACGGAUAGCUGGGGAUUACCUGUCUCGUGUUAGUUAUGUUAAAAUUAUUUAAAAGGUGAAAAUACCUUUACGAUUAUGUUAGACGAGAAGACCCUAAGAAUUAUAAUUAAAGAAAUUUGUAUUACUAAGUUUUUGUUGGGGCAACAAAUUAGGUUUAACCGAAUAAUAACACAGCUUUGCAUGUAAUGAUUUCAUAGAAUGGUAUUAAUUACCUUAGGGAUAACAGCAUAAUUAUAUUAAUAGAUUGUGACCUCGAUGUUGGACUAAGGGCCUUAUUAAAUAGCCUUUAAUAAGGAUAGUUCUGUUCGAACUGUAGACCUUACAUGAUCUGAGUUCAGACCGGCGUAAGCCAGGUCAGUUUCUAUCUACUCUUUAAAAUAAAUUAGUACGAAAGGACCAUAUAUUUUUAUAUCUAUAUUAAUU
rnacentral:rRNA from 1 species